UCGCACUCUUUCCCUUAUAUUUAGUGUAGUACUUAUCCUAUGGACUUGAGAAAGAACUUUUCUGUAAAUAGAGUAAAAGAAGGAAAAAUUGAAAACUUUCUCCUAGCAACAACUGGACUUAUCUAGCUGCAAUACUAUGUCAUGAGAGAAGCAAUGCGGAAAGAAGUCUGUUUUGUCUUUUACAUGUCUUAAUUACUGGUUUAUUAACUUAAAGAAUUUGUUUGUGAGGUAAUAAUAUUUUGUUUAUCUUGUAUGCAGGCUUUAAUAUUUCUUGCUAUGGUUUAUGUUCCAAGAGUUUCUAUAUAUAUUGGGUUACCAAAACAAAAUGCAACUUCUUACUUUAUGAGCAUCUCACCAUAGUGGAUGCUUGGGAAAACUUUAGUUCAUCCAACAUUAACAUAUGCGAUUGAAAUUGCACCUAUUCAAUCAGUGAUUGUACUCAUUUUCGGACUCUACGUAGUGAUUGCUAAAACGUACUGUGAGGAAAGGUAUGUUAGUAUUGGUAGUAGUGGUUAAUAUCAGAAGAAUUGCGAUGAGUGAUGUGUAAUCACGUGUUGAUAAGUUAUCGUCAGUAAUUCUUAAAUGAUAUGUGUGAGGAGAAAUAUGUUAUUGUUGGUAGUAUUAAGAAGCUACUUUAAUGGUUAAUAUUAGAAGAAUUGUAAUGAUUGAUGUGUAAUCACGUGUUGCUAAGUUAUCGUCAGCUAAUUGUAAUUAUUAAAUGAUAUGUGUGAGGAGAAGUAUAUUAUUGUUGGUAGUAUAAUAAGCUACUUUAGUGGUUAAUAUUAGAAGAAUUGUGAUGAUUGAUGUGUAAUCAUUUGUUGCUAAGUUAUCGUCAACUAAUUGUAAUUAUUAAAUGAUAUGUGUGAGGAGAAGUAUAUUAGAGGCGUGCAUUGAACUAGGUGUUUUAGGAGAUUAUGAGAUUUGGUUAAAAUCCUCUGUUAUUCAACUAAUGAUUUAAAAAAAAAAAUUCAAAUCAGCUGUUAUUAGAUAUGAAAUUUCUGCAGAGUUAUUAAAUGUCACUUAAAAUCUCCUGUUAUUCAACUAAUCAUUUGUAAAAAUUAUAUCAAAUCCACUGUUAUUCAAUGUUAAACAACAAUUUGAAAAGAAAAUUUGUAAAAGGGAUUUGAGGAGAGUUUACACCAGUUUUUAGUUGAAAACAAUUUCUAUAGAAUAACAUCUCUAGAGGUGUUAUUUGAAGAUAGUUGAGAAAAAAAUAACAUUCGUGGAAAAUAAUAUUCUUUUGCUCCUCUGCUUGAGAGCUCUUGUAAGCGGCAGAAGCCUGAGACACCCUUUCUGGUUUUGACUUCGUCACCUUCAUAAGUAUACAUGGCGGACGAAUCUCAGUACUCUCCCGGCUCUUGCUGAUACAUGCUUCUCUAGCCCCCAAGCCUCUAUGAAAUUUGAAUCAGUGAUUUCGUCCCUUGCAUCCCGAACUUCAAUUCGAUCAAGUAAGCCACCGUCGCGAACGGGACCGGAGAAAGUGAGGGUGGGUUCUUGGCUCUAGUGAGGGUGAGAAAUUUUCACCACUGUCUUGCAGUAGAAAUGUUGAUUGAUCCGAGCUGCCACGCCUUGGUCGCUGUUUGAAAAUUGGCUGUCUUGAUGAGUUGAAUUAGUGAUAAAGUGAUGAACUUUAUGAUUGUCAGAUUUCAUUUACAUUUGAAGGUUCAUUAAGCGUGGGGACUACUGUCUUGCUAAAGGGACAAGUUCUGGAUUUCAUACACACAUCAUUGUAUGAUGCACAAGAUGGCUACUUCUCACAACAUUCAAGAUUUGUUGGGGUUUUGGAGAGAAGCAUUGGGUUCAACCAGCAUGAAGGGAGGAAGGCUUACAUGUAGUUGACUACUUUUCUUUUUAUCGGAGCUUUGUUGACUAAUUUUCUCUUUGUAUGGAAGGAUGGCUUACAUGAAGUUGCUGGAUAAAGUUUAUAAGCAGAAUGACAUUUUUUGGUUUUUCUCCAGUGGAACUCUUCAAAGUCAAAUUCGUGGAUAGAUUCUUUGGUCAUAUAUUCUAAUAUACAUUAAUGGUCCAUCUGUUGGUAUACAUUAGUGGUCACAAGUUUAUGCAUAUAGCUUAUAAGUGAUUAGGUAAGUAUAGAAACUCCUAAGCAAUGUAUGUAAGCAGAGAUAACUAUUAUCUUCAAAUCACCUAAAUAACUUAAAUUUAGAAAAGAUAUUUUAUCAAACCACCUGGCGAUUGUUAUUUGUAUUUUUUAAAUUCUAACUAAAAUCACCCAAACAACCUCAAAACUCAUUAAAUCCCACCAAAAUUAAAAUACUCUAAAAUCUCCUAAAACCUUUAAUUCAAUACACCCCCUUACUGUUGGUAGUAUAAUAAGCUACUUUAGUGGUUAAUAAGAAGUAUUGCGAUGACUGAUGUGUAAUCACGUGUUGCUAAAUUAUAGUCAGUUAGUUGUAAUUAUUAAAUGAUAUGUGUGAGGAAAAAUAUGUUAUUGUUGGUAGUAUAAUAAGCUACUCCAGUGGUUAAUAUCAGAAGAAUUGCAAUGACUGAUGUGAAAUCAUGUGUGUUGGACCAUGAUUUUGUACCAAAUCACUUCUACUAUAGUUAUAUGUUAUUAUAUAAAUUAUUGUGGGACAAUAAUUCAUCACCAAAUCUCGUGUUGAUAUUAAACGUCAAAGACGAAGUCAAAAGUUAGUUACCGAUCUCUCGGACUCACAUGGACGUAAGAAGAGGUCAAAGACUGAAUUUUAGGAAGCACGUGCAACAACUUGAAACCCUUAUAAAAAGACAAAGCAAUUGAUUUAUACGGCCAUCUUCCAAAAGAGCUUCAGGGGGCUCACAACGACAAAUAAAACACCAUCCAUUACCAUUAUUAUUAAGGAGGAGACGUGUGCACUUAGUGAAUCCAGGCUCCAUGCGUUAACAUAGAUCAAUAAGACGAAGGGUUUACUAUACAUCAUCAUACACGUUUCUCUAUCACUCCAAUACGUCUCCACGUUUGUUGAAGAACAAGACUUAUCCUUCGUACGAUAAACGAUCUAACGAGAUCGUAAUCGACCGUCUCGAGUUCAACUUGUUCCCCAUUCGUGAAUGGGGUCUCGUUCUAAAGGAGGUAAACGACAUCUCGCCCGAGAUGGUAAGAGAUAAAACCGACGUCUUCUGAGAACUGACGAACUCGAUGUCUCUCCUGAGAACCGACGAACUCGAUGUAUCGAUCGGGACCGACAAACCCGACGUCUUGCUCAAGACCGAUGACACCAACAUCCCUUUCGAGAUGAUGAUAAUCGAACUACGUUUAGACUUGAUCCCACGACGGGUACGUAGGCAGCUCGUUCUCGAGUUCAGUCACGAUCUUCUCUUUCCCGAUAUCUUUAUGAUAUUCGACCUACGAAUAUAGUCCAUUUUCGCCGACUCAUACCUGAUUAUAUCGUUGUGUUCUAAGGAUAUCGUUGCCCACAUCAUUUUUCUUCUCCAGAUUGAACUCCCGAUCACUAUUAAAUACUUAGUGUAGAUUUUAGGUUCUACAAUGUUUUUCUAAGUCAUCGUCAGCUAAUUGUAAUUAUUAAAUGAUAUGUGUGUCUUUUGAAAUUCCAAUUAAUUAUAAUCUAUAUUUAUUGCGAAAGUAAUGACACACAAGAUACACAUGACUAAAAUUGUCAUUAAAAAAUAUGAGAGGAUAAUCCAAAUGGAUGAAAAUUCUUUUUCGAGAAAGAAAAAAAGUUAAAUUAAUGUUUAUGUAACAUAAAAAUUAAAAUUAAUGAAAAUUAUUUUAACAAAAAAGAAGGGCAAUUCUUUCAAAUGGUUUUUUUAAGUUUUGUCACAAAAAUAGCGAUAAACAAUGACCAAAAUAGCUUCUUUUUAUUUUAAAAUUUUUAAUUUUUUUUUUAAAUUUGAAACUUUAUCUCCAAAACCUCACCCCUUAUCUCUAAACCCCAAGUCUAACUUAGUUAACCUUAAAGUAAAAAUACAUUUUCACCAUUUAAUAAACUUAUUUUGGUCAUUUUUUUCAUUGAUUGCUAUUUUGUUACAAAAACUAAAAAAAAACUAUCAUAGGGAAUUUGUUAAAAAAGAAUCCAAAGAAAACAAAAAACAAAACGAAAAUUUUCUCCAACCAUAAUGUUUAUUUCCCCAAUUGUUUUUGUUUGUUAACUCUCCGAAAAUACUUAAAUAUCAUGACACUAUAAUAGCAUUUAGCGCUCAAAUAUUCAUCUCACCCUCUUCUCACAUACUCUGUUUCAUCCUCUCGCCUCAAGAAUCUGUAAAGCUUUUUUUAGUCAUUCCAUUGGAAGGUAAGAGGUCUCGUUUUCAUUGCUUCCUCUUAAAGUACUCUUCUUUAAGAUCGAAGUCGGCUCCUUUACUUCUCUCGCUUUCUUUUGUGUAGGAUCGCUCUCUCGUGCGGACCUUUCUCGAAAUGGAAGGUAACAACAAGAAAGCGAACACAAGUUCCAUAGACGUGAUCAGCACGUUACCAGAUAAUGUUCGCAGCAGAAUUUUGGCUUUCUUGACGACAAAAGCGGCUGCUUUAGCUCUGUUUCUCUCAAAGAGAUGGUAGAAUCGUCACUAUUGGGACGGGUCUGUUUCAAGUCAGACGUGUUGGACUUUAGUUAAUUAAAUGAAGGAACAUUUUAGACAAAACGUGUCGGUUAUGAGUUAAUGAGUCAACAUAUACAUGCGCCCGGUUGAGUUAACGUAUGUUUUGAUUAAAAGCACCACUUGAAUUAUUAUAUAAAAUAAUCAAGUGCAAUAUGAGAAAAGAAGAGAAAGAGGAAAGAAGAGAGAAGAUUAUUGAGUAUCAAUUGGAUUUAAUAUUUUUCUUUCCCAUAACAAGUUUCUGAAGGAAAACUCAAAAUAAAGUUUGUUAUGGUCUUGGUACGGAUGUGUCGUACGGAGAUUGGUAGUUGUAUCCUCAAGAUAGAUACCUACGAAACUACACACUAGGGCAAAAUUAUGUCUUAAGAAAUUGCUUAGACAAACCUCUAUCAAACCACAAUCAGUUAUGUUGUGAGAAGAAGAAACAUAAUUAUCUUAUAACAGUUUAUAAGAAUUUAUAAAUCAAGUAAGAUUUAUAAAAGUUUAUAAACUCAAACUUAUUGAGUACGUGUGAUUGAUUUGCAUCUGUACUUUGGAUUAACAAGACGCUCCAGAGGCUUGUGUACAGACGCGAUGAUGAUGCUUCUGGUUCGAAGCCUUGUGUUAUGUUUGAUACUCCGGGUCUUGUUUACUUGGAGUACUCUAAUGUAGUUGCUGAUAAGUAUGAGAAUCUGCGUUUGGACAGCUUGGUUGACGUUAGGCUUGAUCUUCAGUUGACCGGUGAUCAAAUUUUGCGCAAGAAUGCUACAGACGGUGUUGGUUUUGUUCCUGGUGAUUUUAGGGUAAACCACGAUUGUAUCAUAUUAGUUUUUUCCCAAAGAUUUACCCAAAUGCAAGGUCCCAAGUCAUGAAAGAAAGUGCUUGACCUUCCCAAGUUUACUGUUUUAAAGUUCAAUUUUUUUUUUUUAUUGUUUUAGUUCUCUACAUGUAUUUAAUCUGAAUUUGGCACAUACCCGAGCUAGGCACAAAUUUGAUGGGGAAUAAUAUAGAACUAGGUGACUGGCCCGCACCCUGUGCCGGCAUAAAAAUAUUCAAAAUGUGGAAUAAAUAGUAUACAGUUGUUGAAGUUACAGAUUUUAUAUUAUCACUAAGUAGAAUUGUAUUGUAUAUACGUUGUAAGUGUGUAUUUUAGGUGACGAAUAUAUUUAUGUUUAUAUUUUUCGUUUUAAAAUAGUGACAUAUUUAAAGAAAAUAUAAUAUAAGUCGAAAUAUAAUCUAUAAGUAAUAUAAAUUAAGAAGUACAAUUCUCAAUAAAGAAAACAAACCUGCAAAAAAUUAUUAAAUUUUGUAAGCAGUUGUACGAAAUAAAAUAAUUUCAUAGAUAUAUAAUUUUAUAAAUUUUAGCUAGCAUAUAUUUUCAAGAUGCUAUAUAUUAUUUCUCAUGGAUCUAUGUUAUUAUAAAUAGAGCUUCAUAUGCAUACAUAUUCUGUAUAUUAAGUUUUGCCAAAAAGAUUGGAUUGCCAACUCUAUAUAUCUUCCAUUGUAUUUAAAAAUAAUGACAUAUUUAAAGAAAAUAUAAUAAAAGUCAGAAUAUAAUCCAUAAGUAAUAUAAAUUAAGAAGUACCAUUUUCGAUAAAGAAAUCAAAAUCCAUUAGAAACCUGCAAACAAUUAUUAAAUUUUGUAAGCAGUUGUACGAAAUAAAUAAUUUCAUAGAUUUAUAAAUUUCUAAAUUUUAUUGAAUAGAAAAUAAUAUUAAAUUUACAUACCAUCAUCGAAAUAGUGUGAAAACUGGAUU